GCUAGGUUAGCUCAGUUGGUUAGAGCAUGGUGCUAAUAACACCAAGUUCACAGGUUCAAUCCCUGCUUACUGCA
rnacentral:tRNA from 1 species